CAGUAUAUCAGUAUUACGGAUCCAUAUCACAGUAAACAGUAUAUCAGUCGGAUCCAUAUCACAGUAAACAGUAUAUCAGUCGGAUCCAUAUCACAGUAAACAGUAUAUCAGUCGGAUCCAUAUCACAGUAAACAGUAUAUCAGUCGGAUCCAUAUCACAGUAAACAGUAUAUCAGUCGGAUCCAUAUCACAGUAAACAGUAUAUCAGUCGGAUCCAUAUC
rnacentral:lncRNA from 1 species